GUCUAAGCAAUAUGUGCCAUAC
rnacentral:siRNA from 1 species